rnacentral:rRNA from 1 species
UACGAGGGGGUGCAAGCGUUGCUCGGAAUUAUUGGGCGUAAAGGGUUGGUAGGUGGUCUUGUUUGUCUAGGGUGAAAUCCCAUGGCUUAACUGUGGAAGUGCCCUAGAAACGGCAAGACUAGAGUCCUAGAGGGGUUUGUGGAAUUCCCGGUGUAGCGGUGAAAUGCGUAGAGAUCGGGAGGAACACCAGCGGCGAAGGCGGCAAACUGGAUAGGCACUGACACUCAACAACGAAAGCGUGGGGAGCAAACAGG